UUAAAUGCCUCAAUACGCAGAAAAUAACAAUUCAGCAUAGUAUCAGAUCGAGCUAUCUAUAGAUCCAACAUCAUCCCCGUUGAUUUCAUUUUUAUUUUCAUUUUUUGUCACAUCCUCUGCUAACUUUUCCGUUAAAACAAUCACACACUACGCACGUGCAUCAUGGAUCAUCACUCUUCGCCAUUUGGGACUCAUUAAGAAUGAUCAGAAUUAAAUCCUAACACUACAAAAAAUUUUAGAAAAAAAAAAGAUUUUUAUUAUAAAGACGAUUUUUAGAUGAUACUUGAAGAAAAUGUCCUCAAGUGUUCUUAUAAUAUAACUUUACUAUUAAUUUUAAUUUUUCGAUACUUUAAAACAUCGGGACUAUAAAUCUUAAACCCUAAACCCUAAAAAAUUCUAACGCUUUAAAACAUCAGAAUAUAUGUUCGACGCUUGGCAUAAGUCUUAGUAUAUACGCAGCGACUCUUUAUUUGCUGACAAUUUCAAAUAUGACGGUAAACCAUUUUGAAAAGAGUUACUUUUUUUAACAAUAAGUUAAGAUUACUUCCAAAUAAUAAC
rnacentral:lncRNA from 1 species